AUGCUCUUUCCCUCAGGCCAGCUGGCUGUGACUGCAGGGAUAUGGAUGUCCUCUAAGAGUGGAUACCAUGCUGCUUCACUCCCUCUCUUUCUUUAUCUUCUUCAGUUUUUAAGCACUGGAGCAUCUUGGCCAAAUGACAGCAAGACAGACAGGAAACUUGCUGACACAAAAACUGAAGCAGUGGGACUAGAUGGGUUUUUCACUGCAGAAAUCAACAUCGAUUACGGACACAGAAACUAAGGCUUAAAGGUUUAAAAACUUUUUGAUAUGUUUGUUUACAAACACAUUAAUUGAUGUUAAUUGAUGGACUGGAGUCGUGUGGAUUACUUGUGGAUUAUUGUGAUGUUCUUAUCAGCUGUUUGGACUCUCAUUCUGACGGCACCCAUUGCACCAUUGGUGACCCAGAUAGCAUGGUGACUUUGAUACAAUAAUGAGUUUUGAUUCAAACCAUCAUUUUAGUUGAGAUUGACAUUUCAGUGGUGAACAUUCCUAUGCUGAAGUCUUGUUUGUUGAACAACCUGACAAUUUCAUGCAUAUCUUUUUAUUUCUUAGUUUCUUUGUUUUGCAUGCUUGUUAUUUGCAUUUGAUUUAUUGUUACUGAAACUAAUAAUAUACAUUAAUUAAAAAUUUUAUGAGUGUUUGAAUAAACCAUCCAUUUUUCUAAAUUGUUAAAAAAAA
ensembl:lncRNA